CUUCGUUUGGUCGUUGAAGGGUUCGGACGUGUUUUUCGAAGCUCUCGACGUCGUGACCUAAUUAUAAUUUGAACUGCGCGGGUAAAGAACGCUCAUUUGCGGCUUGGACAUUGACCAAUACGGACGUGUUUUUAAAGCGCUCUGAAAAAAGUUUUGACUUUUAAAUUUUUUUUACUACGACAGAAUCUUAGUUGACUGAUGGUCUUUGACAAAGACAGACUUGUUUUUGUGAGCUCUGAACAAAAUUUGACUUUGAAAUAUUUUUACGAUUAAAAAGUUUCAGUUGACUUUUGAACGUUGACGAAGACGGACGUACUUUCGUGAGCUCUGACUAUUGAUGAAAAGUUUUCGCGUUAUAGAAUAGCGACUUGGUACUCAGGUUGUUGAAUGACUGGAUGACUGAAGUGUUAGGUUAUUGUUAUGAGAUAACAACUUGACUUUGACUUGAGUUGUGAAAUGAAAUCAUACUCUUAUGCGAUGUUAACUUUUGAACGUUUAGUAUUGACUGACAACGAAAUUUUGUGAGCGUUAUAUAUGAAAUGUUUGACUUACAUUAAUUUUUUUGAACGACUUGACUUCACUUUAAGUUUUGACAUCGGACUGAUCGGACGUGUUUUUUUAAGCUCUGACUGUUGUGAAUAAUUAAAUUUAUGUUGUGGUGUCAAGCGAUUGACUGUCAGUUGAGGUUCAGAUGUCGAGCUGUGCGGACGUGUUCAUCGAGCUGCUGUCUACAAAAAACUGGGCUGUGGUGAGUAUUGCAGAUUUAACUUGUAUGUGUGGUUUUUAGUUAACGAUGCUUAAUGAAAACUGUUAUUGUACACUUAGUAUGGAAUGAUGUGAAUGAUGAUAUGAUGGGUAGAAUUAAUCAGUGCUUGUGUCUAGAAAUGCUGAAUGUUUAUUGAAAAGGCUAAAUGCUAGCCAGUACUAAGAGUUGAGCUACCGUGGGAAUGUGAAACGAACUGAUGGUGUAAUAUGAUGGUGUAUUGACAUACUUUUCUUAUAUGUACUAAAUAUGAUAUUGCUUUACUUGUAUUUGCAUGCUGUUAACAUUUCUAUUUUGUUCCAGUGUGCUGUGGUGAGUACUGUAGAUAUUACUUGAUUUUUAGUGUCUAUGAAUGCUGAUGUAUGAUAGCUAUAGCAUGAGCUCAAUGCUAACCAGUAUUAUGAGUUGAUGUAUUGUGGUGAUGCUAAUCGAACUGAUGAUGUAACAUGAUGGUGAACACUUACUGAAUGCAUAAAAUUUAUUGAAUUGCAUUUGUUGAUAUGCACUAUAAUAUGAUAAAUGUAUUGCUUUACAUGUAUAUUUCAUGAUGUUUAAUUUCAGUGGGCUGUGGUGAGUACUGUAGAUUGUAUUGCCUAUGUAUAGAAUUCAAUAAAAGAUUAUGACUGAAAACUGCUUUUGAUUCUUUUUGAACAGUUUUAGGGACUAUAAGUCUAUAACAAAAAUAUGUCGGUUGGCGUUCAUACAGCAAUGUUUUGAGUAGUACAGAAAUGUUUCUACGUUUGUGGUCGCCAGUUGUCUGUGAUGUGUAAAGUGAAAAAUACACGGAGCUUUGAAUACAACAAACAGUUACUGUUUUAACACAGAUUGUGUGCUAUGCAUUUUUCGAUGUAGAUCUUUUUCAGAUUUGACAUGAAAUGUAGACCUGACAUUUGAACAGAGCUGGGAAACGAAAAGGUAAGUUUGUUAAAUUUCACAAUGAACACUUGUGUUUUGACAAAAGAAGAGAUAAAGUGAGUUUUGUCAUCAUCAUGGUUUCUUUCAGAGUAUAACUCGUGAACAGAUGAAAACCUAUUUUUUGCUAGAUUUUCAUGUACUCUUUUUUUGGAUGAUAAGUAUGUCAGUAACUCAAAAUCAUACGGCUAGUACAGUAUGGAACAUGAAUGCUUUGUUCAGAUUUUCAGAUGUGUGCUGGCAGUUCAAGUCUGGCAGCUGAAGUGAACAGUCGUGUUUUCUGGAGCUCCAACAAUAUGCUAGAAGGUAAGUAACUAUGUUUGUUUUGCAUUGCAUGUUUUUAUAUGUUUCAGACUUUCAAGCAGAGAUGUCAUGCUGACUGGAGUUGAGCACAGGGCAGUGACAAAGUGAAAGGUAAGUACUUUUGACUGAAUGUUUGUUCUAUGCAUGUUUUGUUUUAAUACAUUUCAGGAGUGCUUAUCCAGUGAUGAUAUGACAGUUGGAGUGAACAGUGGAGCCAAGCAGUCUUGUUUUUAGAGCUACUCAACAAGCCUUGAAGGUAAGUUUAGAAUUUCUCAAUGUUAGUGAAUUGAAGUACUGUCACUUGCUUUUGGACAGUCGAACAGAACAGACGUGGUUGCGAGAGCUCUCAUAUCUGUUGUGUUAAACUGUUUUUAUGAUAUGUUAUGUUUGUUUGUUUGUUUGUGAUGUACUAUUUUUCAGAUGCUGAUGGCAGUGAUGGGUUUUCAAGCUGACCUGAACAGAAAAGCACUCAUAUGGUAAGUACAAAAUAGUUGUUAUAUGGGAUGUUUUGUGCAUGCUUUUAUGUUUCAGGUGUACUUGCUGACAGCGACGAAGACGAAUCAAGAAGAGGAACAUUGUUGAGAAAGUGAUUGGGACUUGCAAACAGGGUAAGUGUAACACUUGUGUUUGUUUAAUUUGUAACAUGCGUGCUUUGCUCUGUUUCAGAUUUCACAUGCAGAAAUUAAACAGGAUUUCAACUGCUGAGACACAAUUCAUCAAAAGUAAGGUAAGUUUUAAUUCAUUGAUUUGAGUUGUACAAUGUGUUCUUUACUUUAUUUCAGAUUCGAGUCACUGGUUUACACAUGGAAGAAGAUUUCCACGUCUGUUACUCAACUCUACAGAAGCAAGUUGAUGUCCAGAUGGCAAGCAGUACAGACGUGUUUCUUGGAGCUGCCAAACAGUGAGUACAAACGUUUUAUAUUUUUCAGUUGUUUACUCAUAGAAGUCUGUGAAAGAUGAUAACAAGGGUUGAAUCUAUCAGCACUUGUGUCUAAAAAUGCUGAUGUGUGACGGUUUACUGAAAAGGGUAAAUGCUAGCCAGUACUUACACUUGAGCAACCGUGGGAUGUCGAACUAACUGAUGAUGUACUAUGAUGGUGAACACUUACUAUGUGUAUCAAAAUGCUUUUGUUGAUAUUUACUAUAGAUGAUUUGAUAUUGGUUAACAUUUGUUUGCAUGCUGUUAACAUUUCUAUUUCAUUUCAGGGAGCUGUGGUGAGUAUUGUAGUAUACAUUUGUUUCAAUAAACCAUGAUUAAUGAAAACUGAUUUCGAUUCUUUUUUACAGUUUUAGGGAUUAUCACUCUAUAACAACUCUGUCGGUUGGUGUUCGUGAAUGUGAGCUUAAUGUUUGAGUAGUACAAAAAUGUCUUUACUUUUGUGAUCGCCAGUUGUCUGUGAUUUAAAGUGAAAAAUACACAGAGCUAUGAAGCAUACACUUGUUUCAAUAUUUUAUCAAUGAUUCAUCAAUGAUAGUGUGCUAUGCAUGUUUUGAUUUAGUUCGUUUCAGGUAUGACAUGACAUGAAGAGUUGACAGUCGAACAGAGCUGAGCAACGCAGAAAGGUAAGUGUGUUUCAUUUUAGUAUGAACACUUGUAUUUUGUUUUUAUAUGGUAUGUUUUGUGCAUGCUAUGUUUCAGGUGUACUUGUAGUCAGCGACGAAGACGAUUCAAGAAGAGGAACAUUGCUGAGAAAGUGAAUGGGACAUGCAAACAGGGUAAGUGUUACAAUUGUUGGUUUGAUUUUUACCAUGCAUACUUUGCUUUACUCUGUUUCAGAUUUCACAUGCAGAAAUGGUCUCAUAGCAGUGCCAACAGUGAAUAAGGAUUUCAUCUGCUGUGAAACAACUCAACAGAAAGUAGGUAAGCAUUGAAUGAAUGCACUUGAGCUGUACAAUUUGAUGUGAUGCUUUUCUCUGUUUCAGAUUCAAGUUCCUGGUGUAGACAGAGAAAUGUGUUUGAAGAAGGAAUUCUACUACUGUGAUUCAACUCUACAGAAGCAAGGUAAGUAGAAACAAAAUUUUGGUUUAAUUUAACUCAUGUGUUUUGCACUGCAUGCUAUUUUUCAGGUCUCUCAUGCAGUGAGGGAAAAGAAGAAGAUUUCAAGAAAAAAUCACUGCUGCAACUCAGGCCGAUAACAAGGUAAGCGUUUACUAUAUUGUAUACAAAAUGUUUUUCUGUUUUACUCUGUUUCAGGUUUCAAUUGCAGAGAUGUUGCAGAGAUGAUUUGACAGCUUGUGGCAGAAAAGAAAUUCAGCAUCUGUUUCUCGACUCUAGCCACGAGGUAAGUCAAAACAAAUAUACUGGUUUGUAUGUAAUGUUGUUAUGCCCUUCUAUGUUUCAGACUUACAUUGCUGUGACUGUUCCACAGUGGGUCAAAAAAGAGACGAAUACAGGUUUCAAGAAGAAAAUUGGCUGUUAAAAACCUGCACAAAAUAUGAGGUAAGUAAACUACUCUUUUGGUUUGUUUUGUGCUUUGUUAUGCUUAACUAUUUUUCAGAUUGGAAUGGUGGGUCGUUACAGAGCAGACUUUUGGACUACUGAGAAGUUGAGAAACAGAGAAUGAUUCAAGAUCAGCUAGGUAAGUCUUGAUUAUUAUGCAUUGCUAAAUGUUUUUUUCAUUCCAGUAUGGCUGUGGUAAGUACACAAACUUUCUAUAAUUUAAUAUUGAACUGUUUUUAUGACCUGUAUUCUGCAUUGUAAAAUGUCUGUUUUUCAUUUCAGUAUCCUGUGGUAAGUACACUAACUUUGUAUAAUUUCAUAUUGAAAUGUUUUGAUGACUUGUAUCCUGCUAUGCAAUGCUUAAUAUAUUUUUCAUUUCAGUGUGGCUGUGGUAAGUACAAUUGCCUUCUUUAAUUUUCAUAUUGAACUGUUUUGAUGAUUUGUAUACUGCUAUGCAAUGCUUAUUGUUUUUUACAUUUCAGUGUGGCUGUGGUAAGUACAAUUGCCUUUCAUAUUGAACUGUUUUGAUGACCUGUAUUUUGCAUUGUAAAAUGUGUUUCUUUUUCAUUUCAGUAUGGCUGUGGUAAGUACACAAACUUUCUUUAAUUUUCAUAUUGAACUGUUUUGAUGACUUGUAUUCUGCUAUACAAAAUGUGCUUUUUUCAAUUUCAGGUCAGCAAUGGUAAGUAUAGUGUGUUUUUUUAUGUAUAAUUUUGUAUACAUAUUGUUUUUUUUCAUCAUAGCAUGUAUUUUAUAUUUAUGCUUUGUGUAAGUAAAAUGUUCAUAAAUCAUUCUUAUCUUCAAACUAAAAAUGUAUUGUGCUAUGCAAAAUGUCUGUAUGAUUUCAGUUGCCAGAGGUGAGUACCAUUACAGUUGAAAAGUUAGUUUUGUUUAGUUAAAGUUUUGGUUCACAGUUCUGUUUGUUAUUUGGCAAAAUUUACAUGUAUGCAUUGAGUCUUGAUUUCAGCUCGAUUGUGGACUGAAGAAGAUUGCCCGCAGAGGGAUUGGAUACAAAAUACAAAGUAAGUACUGAGUUUCUUACUAAAAGUUUUGAGUUGUAUUCAUUGUAUGUUAAUAUGCUAUGAUUGCUAUGAACAUGACUUUUGUAUUUCAGCGAAGACAACAUAGGUAAGUAAAAUUGUUAUCUGUUUCAUGUUUACUGUUACAGUUCAAUAUUGUGUUUAUAAAUUGUAAGUUGUACAAACACAUUCAAAAGUUUCUAAUCAUGCUUUCGAUUUCAUUUCAGCUUUACUGCUAGACGAGUGUUCUCUACUACUUGACGAGUCAGCUUUACUACCAGGCGAGCAGUGACAACAAGGCGCCUUUGUGGAAACAACACAACAAAAAACUGUACUGCUAGACGAGCAGUGACAGAAAGGCGCCUGAACAUGCAACACAAAACAAAAAAUGCCAAUAUACAAACCUUGAUGUGAACACCGAGUAGUCAAUGCAUACGUGUGGCGUACAGCUGCGACAAAACCGUGGGUCCAUCGCACCGAUAACUCGAACAUUGGACCGCGUAUGGACAUCAGUGCAACUUUGUGAAUCCAUGUAACUUUGUGAAUCCAUGUAACAUUGCGAAUAUGUGUCGAUCGAAAAAUGUGUACAUUCUGCACUGAAACGAACUCGGUGUUGCAAGUGGCAAGUGUUGACAGUGUGUAUGUUUAUGUUUAUGUUUUUACAUGAAAACUAAAGGAGAUUGUUCUCCUACCUUUUUUUUCCUUGUUUUAUUGCGCUGGCCAGCAAUAUUGAUGUAUGUGUUUGUGUUUAAACUAUGCAAUACCAAAAUCAAACAAAAAUAAACAUUAACAGUCAUUAACUGUG